UAGAGUUUGAUCCUGGCUCAGAUUGAACGCUGGCGGCAGGCCUAACACAUGCAAGUCGAACGGUAACAGGAAACAGCUUGCUGUUUCGCUGACGAGUGGCGGACGGGUGAGUAAUGUCUGGGAAACUGCCUGAUGGAGGGGGAUAACUACUGGAAACGGUAGCUAAUACCGCAUAACGUCGCAAGACCAAAGAGGGGGACCUUCGGGCCUCUUGCCAUCAGAUGUGCCCAGAUGGGAUUAGCUAGUAGGUGGGGUAACGGCUCACCUAGGCGACGAUCCCUAGCUGGUCUGAGAGGAUGACCAGCCACACUGGAACUGAGACACGGUCCAGACUCCUACGGGAGGCAGCAGAAGGG
rnacentral:rRNA from 1 species